rnacentral:rRNA from 1 species
GCUAGCAGCGAUAGCACGUUGAAUACACCACUUUCCCAUGAAUCACUGAAGUUGAGCAACGUUGCGCGUGGUCAGUAUAGGGAUGGGUGACCAUCAGGGUAAUCGCGAGCCACUAGCU